rnacentral:rRNA from 1 species
AACACAUGCAAGUCGAACGGCAGCACAGAGGAGCUUGCUCCUUGGGUGGCGAGUGGCGGACGGGUGAGGAAUACGUCGGAAUCUGCCUAUUUGUGGGGGAUAACGUAGGGAAACUUACGCUAAUACCGCAUACGACCUACGGGUGAAAGUGGGGGACCGCAAGGCCUCACGCAGAUAGAUGAGCCGACGUCGGAUUAGCUAGUUGGCGGGGUAAAGGCCCACCAAGGCGACGAUCCGUAGCUGGUCUGAGAGGAUGAUCAGCCACACUGGAACUGAGACACGGUCCAGACUCCUACGGGAGGCAGCAGUGGGGAAUAUUGGACAAUGGGCGCAAGCCUGAUCCGGCCAUGCCGCGUGUGUGAAAAAAGCCUUCGGGUUGUAAAGCACUUUUGUCCGGAAAGAAAAGCUUANGGUUAAUAACCCUGANUCAUGACGGUACCGGAAGAAUAAGCACCGGCUAACUUCGUGCCAGCAGCCGCGGUAAUACGAAGGGUGCAAGCGUUCUCGGANUUACUGGGCGU